rnacentral:rRNA from 1 species
UACGUAGGGUGCAAGCGUUAAUCGGAAUUACUGGGCGUAAAGCGUGCGCAGGCGGUUUUGUAAGUCAGAUGUGAAAUCCCCGGGCUUAACCUGGGAACUGCGUUUGAAACUACAAGGCUAGAGUGUGGCAGAGGGGGGUGGAAUUCCACGUGUAGCAGUGAAAUGCGUAGAGAUGUGGAGGAACACCGAUGGCGAAGGCAGCCCCCCUGGGUUAACACUGACGCUCAGGCACGAAAGCGUGGGGAGCGAACAGG